GAUGAACGCUGGCGGCGUGCCUAAUACAUGCAAGUCGAGCGAACGGACGAGAAGCUUGCUUUUCUGAUGUUAGCGGCGGACGGGUGAGUAACACGUGGAUAACCUACCUAUAAGACUGGGAUAACUUCGGGAAACCGGAGCUAAUACCGGAUAAUAUUUUGAACCGCAUGGUUCAACAGUGAAAGACGGUCUUGCUGUCACUUAUAGAUGGAUCCGCGCUGCAUUAGCUAGUUGGUAAGGUAACGGCUUACCAAGGCAACGUUGCAUAGCCGACCUGAGAGGGUGAUCGGCCACACUGGAACUGAGACACGGUCCAGACUCCUACGGGAGGCAGCAGUAGGGAAUCUUCCGCAAUGGGCGAAAGCCUGACGGAGCAACGCCGCGUGAGUGAUGAAGGUCUUCGGAUCGUAAAACUCUGUUAUUAGGGAAGAACAUAUGUGUAAGUAACUGUGCACAUCUUGACGGUACCUAAUCAGAAAGCCACGGCUAACUACGUG
rnacentral:rRNA from 1 species